GUUUAUUUCCCCUCAAAAUUCUGUCUUUAUAGUUAUAUAAUUCAAAAACAAGCUUAGAUAUGAGGAAACAUUUCUGCUACAGAACACCUCCAUUGGUACAAUCCAAAAGACCAGUGUUUACUUUUCUUUAAAGGUAAGAAAUAUAUUUAGCCCAUUUUUAUGAAUGACAAGAAUUACCUAUCUGUAUUUGGAUAAAAAUUCACAG
rnacentral:lncRNA from 1 species